CAAUAGCGUAUAUUUAAGUUGUUGCAGUUAAAAAGCUCGUAGUUGGAUUUCGGGUGGGACGCAGCGGUCUCGCAUUGCGUUUGUACUGCUGCAGCCCUCCUUCUUGCCGGGGGCGGCCUCUCGGACUUCACUGUCUGGGGGUCAGAAUCGGCGAUGCUACUUUGAGUAAAUUAGAGUGUUCAAAGCAAGCUUACGCUCUGAAUAUAAUAGCAUGGGAUAACACGACAGGACUCUGGCCUAUCGUGUUGGUCUAUAGGACCAGAGUAAUGAUUAAGAGGGACAGUCGGGGGCAUUCGUAUUCCGUUGUCAGAGGUGAAAUUCUUGGAUUUACGGAAGACGAACAUCUGCGAAAGCAUUUGCCAAGGAUGUUUUCAUUGA
rnacentral:rRNA from 1 species